AGCUUAAAUAAUUUAUAAUAAAAUAUUGAUUUUGUAAAUCAAAAAUAAGGUACCCCUUUUUAAGC
rnacentral:tRNA from 1 species